rnacentral:rRNA from 1 species
ACGGGUGAGUAAUAUAUCGGAACGUGCCCAAUCGUGGGGGAUAACGUAGAGAAAUUUACGCUAAUACCGCAUACGAUCUAAGGAUGAAAGCGGGGGAUCGCAAGACCUCGCGCGAUUGGAGCGGCUGAUAUCAGAUUAGGUUGUUGGUGAGGUAAAAGCUCACCAAGCCGACGAUCUGUAGCUGGUUUGAGAGAACGACCAGCCACACUGGGACUGAGACACGGCCCAGACUCCUACGGGAGGCAGCAGUGGGGAAUUUUGGACAAUGGGCGAAAGCCUGAUCCAGCAAUGCCGCGUGCAGGAAGAAGGCCUUCGGGUUGUAAACUGCUUUUGUACGGAACGAAACGGCUCUUUCUAAUAAAGAGGGCUAAUGACGGUACCGUAAGAAUAAGCACCGGCUAACUACGUGCCAGCAGCCGCGGUAAUACGUAGGGUGCGAGCGUUAAUCGGAAUUACUGGGCGUAAAGCGUGCGCAGGCGGUUAUGUAAGACAGUUGUGAAAUCCCCGGGCUCAACCUGGGAAUUGCAUCUGUGACUGCAUAGCUAGAGUACGGUAGAGGGGGAUGGAAUUCCGCGUGUA